rnacentral:rRNA from 1 species
CAAGACCUCGCGCGAUUGGAGCGGCCGAUAUCAGAUUAGGUAGUUGGUGGGGUAAAGGCCCACCAAGCCAACGAUCUGUAGCUGGUCUGAGAGGACGACCAGCCACACUGGGACUGAGACACGGCCCAGACUCCUACGGGAGGCAGCAGUGGGGAAUUUUGGACAAUGGGCGCAAGCCUGAUCCAGCCAUGCCGCGUGCGGGAAGAAGGCCUUCGGGUUGUAAACCGCUUUUGUCAGGGAAGAAAAGGUUCUGGUUAAUACCUGGGACUCAUGACGGUACCUGAAGAAUAAGCACCGGCUAACUACGUGCCAGCAGCCGCGGUAAUACGUAGGGUGCAAGCGUUAAUCGGAAUUACUGGGCGUAAAGCGUGCGCAGGCGGUUAUGCAAGACAGAGGUGAAAUCCCCGGGCUCAACCUGGGAACU